GACGAACGCUGGCGGCGUGCCUAAUACAUGCAAGUAGAACGCACAGUUUAUACCGUAGCUUGCUACACCAUAAACUGUGAGUUGCGAACGGGUGAGUAACGCGUAGGUAACCUGCCUGGUAGCGGGGGAUAACUAUUGGAAACGAUAGCUAAUACCGCAUAAUAUUGAUUAUUGCAUGAUAAUUGAUUGAAAGAUGCUAUUGCAUCACUACCAGAUGGACCUGCGUUGUAUUAGCUAGUAGGUGAGGUAACGGCUCACCUAGGCGACGAUACAUAGCCGACCUGAGAGGGUGAUCGGCCACACUGGGACUGAGACACGGCCCAGACUCCUACGGGAGGCAGCAGUAGGGAAUCUUCGGCAAUGGACGAAAGUCUGACCGAGCAACGCCGCGUGAGUGAAGAAGGGUUUCGGAUCGUAAAGCUCUGUUGUAAGAGAAGAACGGGUGUGAGAGUGGAAAGUUCACACUGUGACGGUAUCUUACCGGAAAGGGACGGCUAACUACGUG
rnacentral:rRNA from 1 species